GUCCUCUGCAGGAGCAGCCAAUGUUCUAACCACUGAGCAACCUCUCCAGCCCUAUGAUGAACUGCUUCUGCAUUGUGAUGGAUGAACCUCAGAGCUCUCGAAUGAGCCUGUCUGGAUAGAGAGCUCAGCAUUUCAGAUGUAGUUGAAUGUGAACUUAUUUCCUGGAACAUCAAUUCAUCCAAAAGCCGGGUACCUCAAUGUCCCUCACAGCAAGGUGUGGUCACAUGACCUGUACUCAUCAACUGAACUUGAUAGAAAUGCUGUACACUUCUUUGGUGCGAAGUCUGUAAGACGGGAUGUGCCUUGUCUGUUUUCCACCCCUCUGGACAGCAAACAAAGGGUUCUGAACACUAAGAAGAAAACAGCCUACAAACUGCAGGGAGCCUGAGUCCCUGAACAACCUAGUAGGAUGCUCAUUGAUGAAGCUCUUCUUAUGAGCAAGGAAUAAAUCUCCCAUAAGUGAAGCCCCUGAGACACUCAGGAACAUCAGCCACAGGAGCUAACACUAGUCUGAUUGGCACACACAUCAAAACUGGAUGACAAAAUAGUUUGGCUCAAGUGAUGCAGAACAGACCUGUAGUUAUCCACCUUUCAAAUGACCAUCUUCCUUGCCUUGCUGCUCUUACGAUGCCUUUACCAGUCUUUGGUUUGUUUAUUUGUUUUUACUAUUGAGACAGGGUUUCACAUAGCUCAGGCCAGUCUCAAACUAACAUUGUAGCUGAAAAUGACCCUGAAUUUCUUAUUCUCUUGCCUUCACUUCCAAAGUACUGGGAUUAUAAGAAUGAGCCACCACAUCUGGUUUAUAUGGUAUAGAGACUCACACCCAGGGCCUCAUACAUACUAGGAAGCACUUCAGCAAACUAGCCACAUCCCUAGCUUUCUGGCAUUCUUAACAAGUCUACACAUUGCUGAAGGCACAUGUUCAUGGUCAGCCAUCUUUAUGAACACAGCUGAUGGCACAUAUUCAUUGCCAGCUCUCUUUCUGAGUACUUUCAAAAUUUGAGUUGAUUAUAUGAUAUCCUCCUGUACAUUCCGAUCCCAAUAUUCUCUAAGCCUCAGCUCAGUAGCAGGUUUUUAGGGAAGCUAGCCUGUUCCAGAACAUCACAGAAAUGAAAUUAGCCAAUAUUUUUUGUUGUUGUACAGAGGAGCAAUUUUGUUUUUGUUGCUGGGUAGUGUUCCUUUGGGUACACAUAGUCACCUGUCUUUUCACACAUUGAUGGGCAUUUGUGUUGUUACAGUUUGUGGCUGUUAUGAAUAAAACUUCUAUGAAAAUUC